CUUAUUAAAAGGGGAUCAAGGGGGGAUCAGCGCCCCCCUUAUUAAGGGGGGAUCAAGGGGGGAUCAGCACCCCCCUUAUUAAGG
rnacentral:tRNA from 1 species